GGUGCUAUGAAAUUUGGUCAAAUUUGGGCAGCAGAUUGCACAACCUGCGACAUAACCGGGUUCGCUUGUGUCGUCGCUUGUGUUCGCUGGGCACUCUUUUGGGCAGAUUGUUGCACAACCUGCGACACAACCCCCCUAUCCUUAUGUUCUAACUUGUGUCGCCUGUUUGUUUUGCAGGAUAAGAACUCACUUCACCAGAAUGGGCCAGCAGCUACCCCAAGCCCAAGCCCAAAAGCCCACUAACCCAUUUUGA
rnacentral:misc_RNA from 1 species